UGCAGAGGACGGGGCAGGGCUUCACAAGCUAUGCGGAGUUGCCUGAUUUGCUCCGCGAGCUCGGAGGUUAGCCUUUUCCUUGAGGCCAUUUCUUCACUAGCGGUGAGGAGGUGAGACGCCGAAUGUUCGAGCGGGCUUACGGAGGUCUGCACGCACCGAGGAGGAUGUGACAGCAAUUUUAGCCGUCGGCCGCUCCGCAGAACCAAACCCUUCAUAACUUUUUUGUUUACCUCGAGGACGUGGAGCGCUUUAUUAAAAGCCCUUUGGUGCUGAAGAGUUAGUCGAGAGACGUGCGGUGUUGCUUUGUUUUCAUUCGUUGCCAUGGUUU
rnacentral:lncRNA from 1 species